rnacentral:rRNA from 1 species
CCUACGGGUGGCAGCAGUGGGGAAUAUUGGACAAUGGGGGCGACCCUGAUCCAGCCAUGCCGCGUGUGUGAAGAAGGCCCUCGGGUUGUAAAGCACUUUCAGUGAGGAAGAACGCCUGGUGGUUAAUACCCAUCAGGAAAGACAUCACUCACAGAAGAAGCACCGGCUAACUCCGUGCCAGCAGCCGCGGUAAUACGGAGGGUGCGAGCGUUAAUCGGAAUUACUGGGCGUAAAGCGCGCGUAGGUGGCUUGAUAAGCCGGUCGUGAAAGCCCCGGGCUCAACCUGGGAACGGCAUCCGGAACUGUCAAGCUAGAGUGCAGGAGAGGAAGGUAGAAUUCCCGGUGUAGCGGUGAAAUGCGUAGAGAUCGGGAGGAAUACCAGUGGCGAAGGCGGCCUUCUGGACUGACACUGACACUGAGGUGCGAAAGCGUGGGUAGCAAACAGGAUUAGAUACCCUGGUAGUC